UUGGCAGUGAUUUCCCAUGAUGAAGCAACUCUUUGGUGCUUUCAUUUCCAUAAAAGCUCUAGUCUAUUUAGAGGUAGUUCCUAGCACCUUGCCCUUAACAAGGCAAUACAGAUAAAGUUCAUUAAAUAUAUUGUCUAAGGUAGGAAAGUGAAGAAGUUUUGCUGUAGCAAGCACUUAACCUUGGGGGAAAAAAAAAGUAAAAUAAAUGGAACAAAUUAUUUCUUAUAAAAGCAAAGAUGAUAUGAACAUAUUGGUAUUGCAUGUUCUGCUGUGUUCACAAAAUUGCCCGAAUGAAGACUCUGGAUGGGGUGUAUUAUUAGACCUUAAUCAAUAGGAAUUUUUUCAAGCAGGCUGGGCAUCCAACUAUUUGACGCAGAUCUUUUCCACACACAAGAGCACUGGAACACCGGAAACUGCAGCAUUAGUGAAUUACAAGGAAGAUUGCAAAUGCCUAUGAUUUUAGAGCUAAUUCUGACAAGAUAGUGGUCAAGCAACUUUUACAGCUUUUUGAUACUUCUGCUGGAAUGCUGAAUUUUUGUUUCUUCUUACAGCAGGGCUUCCAGAAUAGCUGCUGAAGGAAGUCCCCAGAGCUGCUACUGCCUACUCAGGUCUACAGACUCCUUGUGGGAGAGUAGAACCAUGGUACUCCAGAGACCCACUGAUGCAGUCCAGGCAAGCAGAAGGCUGCUGCCCACAGUUGCAGAGAAGACAGAGGUCAUCUGGCCUCUGGGACCACCAGGAGACAUCCAAUGUUCCCUUCUUGUACAAGCACGCAGCUGCUUCUGAUCUCAUCAAAAGCAGGGAAUCUAAUUAAUGAAGAAGGAAUUUCUCUACCCCUAUGUACGUAUAGAGUUAAUGCAGUCAAUAUAGAUUGUGAGAAAAGCUAAGAUAGAAAAAUAAGUACAAAAAUAUUAAAUUAUAAAAAAAUCCUAUGCUUCUAAUGGUAUGCAGAACAGCUUAUAUAUUCAAGAAAAGACAAACCCUGCAGGGAAAGGUUUUUAGAAUUGCUCUCUUUCCUCAUGAAAAGGAGUAUAUGGCUUUAUUUAAACAAGUCAGACAACUUUAACAAACAUCUCUUCACACCUAUUCCCUUUCUGACUGUGUUUUAGUAGUUUAUUAUUUGCAUCAAACAUGAAAAAUUUUGAACCUGGAAAAGUCUCCUUCUGCUUUAAUAUUACAAUCCCUUGAGUGUAUACCAUUACUUAAAAUUCAAUUCCUACAAUAUAUAUUUUUUCAAAAAGCACCCUCACAAUCUGACAGGUAAAAGCUCAAGAAAACAAUUUUUCAGUGACAAUAUUCCCAAAAGGAAUCCAGCUUCAACUCAAAUUUGAAUAAUGUGAGCAGAAAGGAGCUGAAAAUGUACAUUAAUGAAUAAUUGUUCAAUUCAUGUGACAGGGAUCAUCUUCCACUGGAAAUGACAGUUGCACUGAAAUGAUAAAACUGCAAAGCAGACUGUAAACUUGCACCUAAAAA